rnacentral:rRNA from 1 species
GUAGGGACCAAGCGUUAUCCGGAAUUAUUGGGCGUAAAGGGUGCGUAGGCGGCCAUGUAAGUCUAAGUUAAAAGCCCACAGCUUAACUGUGGAAGGUGCUUAGAAACUGUAUGGCUUGAAUUCAGAAGAGGCAAGUGGAAUUCUAUGUGGAGCGGUGGAAUGCGUAGAUAUAUGGAGGAACACCAGUGGCGAAGGCGGCUUGCUGGGCUGAUAUUGACGCUGAUGCACGAAAGCGUGGGGGGAGCAAACAGGAUUAGAUACCCUGGUAGUCCACGCCCGUAAACGAUGAGUACUAAGUGUUGGAGAAAUUCAGUGCUGAACUUAACAGAUUAAGUACUCCGCCUGGGAUUACGACCGCAAGGUUG